UCCCUGGUGGUCUAGUGUUUAAAACUCUGCACUUCCAGUGCAGGGGGUACGGGUUCAAUCCCUGAUCAGGAAG
rnacentral:tRNA from 1 species